rnacentral:rRNA from 1 species
UACGGAGGAUCCGAGCGUUAUCCGGAUUUAUUGGGUUUAAAGGGUGCGCAGGCGGAAAGAUAAGUCAGUGGUGAAAAACUGCCGCUUAACGGUAGUCUUGCCAUUGAUACUGUUUUUCUUGAGUAUGGAUGAGGUAGGCGGAAUGUGCAGUGUAGCGGUGAAAUGUAUAGAUAUUGCACGGAACUCCGAUUGCGAAGGCAGCUUACUGGACCAUUACUGACGCUCAGGCACGAAAGCGUGGGUAGCAAACAGGAUUAGAUA